CCCUUAACUAUUAAAAGUUUCGUUUUGGUCCUUUAACUUACUUUUUGGUUUCGUUUUGGUCCCUUAACUCUUCCUCCGUCAACUACUUUGGUCCUUUAUGUUAGGAUGAAUGUAUUAGAGUUAAGGGACCAAAAUGAAACCAAAAAAUAAGUUAAGGGACCAAAACGAAACCAAAAAAUAAGUUAAGGGACCAAAACGAAACUUUUAAUAGUUAAGGGACCAAAAGAAAACCCAAAAAUAAGUUAUGGGACCGAAACGAAACUUUUAAUAGUUAAGGAA
rnacentral:pre_miRNA from 1 species